AAUGGAUUAACGAGAUUCCCACUGUCCCUAACUACUAUCUAGCGAAACCACAGCCAAGGGAACGGGCUUGGCAAAGACAGCGGGGAAAGAAGACCCUGUUGAGCUUGACUCUAGUCUGACUUUGUGAAGAAUCAUGCAUGGUGUAGUAUAAGUGGGAGUGUUUCGGCACGUCAGUGAAAUACCACUACUUU
rnacentral:ncRNA from 1 species